GUUCAGAUUUCAACCCGUCUUAGCACAUCACCGUGUGUCCUUGUAUCUGGGAAAUUUGGCUGGUCGGCCAACAUGGAGAGGUUAAUGAAGGCGCAAACAAUUGGAGACACACAGCAGUUGGAUUUCAUGCGCGGAAGGAGAGUCUUCGAAAUUAAUCCUGAACAUCCAAUUAUCAAAGACUUGAACGAAGCAUGCAGGACAUCCCCUGAAGAUGCAGAGGCACAGAGGGCUAUUGAUCUUUUGUAUGAUACAGCGCUUAUUUCCAGCGGCUUCACCCCGGAGAAUCCAUCGGAUCUGAGUG
rnacentral:misc_RNA from 1 species